AUCCGGUUCAAAAAAUGAUAUGAAUUUAUGCCGAGCCAAAAUAAAAAAUCUGAGCUGGUCAUAAUAUUUUGCAUAGUAUCAAAGAGACUAGGUGAUGAUAUGUACUUUAACUAUUACAUGGAAAAGGAAAUAGAAACCACAUAAUACAUACAAACAUUGAUGUUAUAUAAUGUUGAUCCAAGGAAGAAAAUCGGAUAACCAACUCAAUUAUUCAUAAGCGGUGACUUGAUGAUGAUUUCAGCAAUCUUUAUUAAUCCUAUCCGAACGAUGGCGUGAUAUGCCAAGCAUCCGAAACCUUUAAAAAGUUCGGUCAUUCCCAGUAUCUUGAUCGGUUGAUGAAUACCCAUGUUAAUAUUAAUCCCGGAUGAAUAAGUUGAGACCGGGGCAAAAUGGUGAGAAAUAGGAACUAUCCUUAAUUUUAUUUAUAGAAGAAAAAAAAAAGAGACGAUUUGAAAAUUAGAAAAGGGGUUAGUCGUAAUAUUCGGUCCGAAAAACUCGGUCCGAACCGACCCGUGGGUUGGGAAAUCGGUAAAUAUUUAUUUUCAAUUUAAUGAAAUCAUCGAAUCAUGGUUCGUUGUUAUAAAUAAAGAAAAAUAACGAUUCGUAGUCUAUAGCCGAUUUUUGUUUAAAUUCAAGGUUCUGACAUUUUAACUCUUGCCGUCAAAUAUAAGUGAAAUAUAAAUAAAUAAACCUAAGUCCCGAGUCCAUAUCAUCGAUUAGCAAUAUUUUACGAGGCAGAGUUCUCCCGAGCAUGCGCAGAAGGACGAGAUUAGUAACGCAAUAUAAAGGAUAACAGACAAAAGAUGCGCCCAUUCUACCCCACAGCUUACAAGUUAAAGCUGUGACGUAACAACGCCGAGUAUCGAUGCCUUUAUCAUUAUAAGGUGUACGAAAGUAUAAAACUAAUUUUUUAA